AAGUCGUAACAAGGUUUCCGUAGGUGAACCUGCGGAAGGAUCAUUAUCGUAUAACUGAGGCACGAGGGCUGUCGCUGACUUUGUGUCGUGCACGCCCGAGUGCUCUCAAACAUCCAUCUCACCCCUAUGUGCACCACCGCGUGGGUUCCCUUUUGGCUCGUUCAGAGGGGGGCUCGCGUUUUCACACAAACUCGAUACAGUGUAGAAUGUCUUCCUUUGCGAUAACACGCAAUUAAUACAACUUUCAACAACGGAUCUCUUGGCUCUC
rnacentral:misc_RNA from 1 species